UAGGAAAGCGCCUAGAGGUUUCUCCAUAAC
rnacentral:piRNA from 1 species